GCAAGUCGAGGGGUAACAUGAGAGCUUGCUCUUGAUGACGACCGGCGCACGGGUGAGUAACGCGUACACAAUCUGCCUAAGAGGAGAAUAGCCCUGGGAAACUGGGAUUAAUGCACCAUAGUAUCUUAAUACCGCAUGGUAUAAAGAUUAAAGUUCCGAUGCUUAAGGAUGAGUGUGCGUCCCAUUAGCUUGUUAGUAAGGUAACGGCUUACCAAGGCAACGAUGGGUAGGGGGCGUGAGAGCGUGAUC
rnacentral:rRNA from 1 species